rnacentral:rRNA from 1 species
UACGGAGGGAGCUAGCGUUGUUCGGAAUUACUGGGCGUAAAGGGCGCGUAGGCGGCUUGGUAAGUAGGGGGUGAAAUCUCAUGGCUCAACUGUGAGGCUGCCUUCUAGACUGCCGGGCUUGAGCACAGUAGAGGCUGGUGGAAUUCCCGGUGUAGCGGUGGAAUGCGUAGAGAUCGGGAAGAACAUCUGUGGCGAAGGCGGCCAGCUGGGCUGUUGCUGACGCUGAGGCGCGACAGCGUGGGGAGCAAACAGG